rfam:Bombyx mori DNA, contig: Bm_scaf30_contig19014, strain: p50T/Dazao, build 2, whole genome shotgun sequence.
UUAACUAAAAUUUGUAUGGAGAUGGAACGUUUGCCUGCGUUCGCCGCUAGGGGCGCUGUACCAACUCCAUACAAAUUUGAGUUA